GGUGCCAUAGCUCAGCCGGAUAGAGCAAGAGCCUUCUAAGCUCUAGGUCGUAGGUUCGAAUCCUACUGGCAUCGCCA
rnacentral:tRNA from 1 species